rnacentral:rRNA from 1 species
CCUACGGGUGGCAGCAGUGGGGAAUAUUGGACAAUGGGCGAAAGCCUGAUCCAGCCAUGCCGCGUGUGUGAAGAAGGCCUUCGGGUUGUAAAGCACUUUCAGUGGGGAAGAAAGCCUUGGGGCUAAUACCCUCGAGGAAGGACAUCACCCACAGAAGAAGCACCGGCUAACUCCGGGCCAGCAGCCGCGGUAAUACGGAGGGUGCGAGCGUUAAUCGGAAUUACUGGGCGUAAAGCGCGCGUAGGCGGUCUGAUAAGCCGGUUGUGAAAGCCCCGGGCUCAACCUGGGAACGGCAUCCGGAACUGUCAGGCUAGAGUGCAGGAGAGGAAGGUAGAAUUCCCGGUGUAGCGGUGAAAUGCGUAGAGAUCGGGAGGAAUACCAGUGGCGAAGGCGGCCUUCUGGACUGACACUGACGCUGAGGUGCGAAAGCGUGGGUAGCAAACAGGAUUAGAUACCCCAGUAGUC